UACGUAGGGUGCGAGCGUUAAUCGGAAUUAUUGGGCGUAAAGAGCUCGUAGGCGGUCUGUCGCGUCUGCUGUGAAAACUCGGGGCUUAACCCCGGGCCUGCAGUGGGUACGGGCAGACUAGAGUGCGGUAGGGGAGACUGGAAUUCCUGGUGUAGCGGUGAAAUGCGCAGAUAUCAGGAGGAACACCGGUGGCGAAGGCGGGUCUCUGGGCCGUAACUGACGCUGGAGGAGCGAAAGCGUGGGGAGCGAACAGG
rnacentral:rRNA from 1 species